rnacentral:tRNA from 1 species
UGUGCGGUGGAGAAGGUGGUAUCUCGAAGGUCUCAUAAGCCUUAGUCCUUGGUUCGACUCCAAGCUGCGCAA